CCCUGCCAUUUGUACACACCGCCCGUCGCUACUACCGAUUGAAUGGCUUAGUGAGGCCUCCGGAUUGGCUAUUGGGAGCUCGCGAGAGCACCCGACUGCCGAGAAGUUGUACGAACUUGGUCAUUUAGAGGAAGUAAAAGUCGUAACAAGG
rnacentral:rRNA from 1 species